AUUGAACGCUGGCGGCAGGCUUAACACAUGCAAGUCGAGCGGAGAUGAGGUGCUUGCACCUUAUCUUAGCGGCGGACGGGUGAGUAAUGCUUAGGAAUCUGCCUAUUAGUGGGGGACAACAUUCCGAAAGGAAUGCUAAUACCGCAUACGUCCUACGGGGGAAAGCAGGGGAUCUUCGGACCUUGCGCUAAUAGAUGAGCCUAAGUCGGAUUAGCUAGUUGGUGGGGUAAAGGCCUACCAAGGCGACGAUCUGUAGCGGGUCUGAGAGGAUGAUCCGCCACACUGGGACUGAGACACGGCUCAGACUCCUACGGGAGGCAGCAGUGGGGAAUAUUGGACAAUGGGGGGAACCCUGAUCCAGCCAUGCCGCGUGUGUGAAGAAGGCCUUAUGGUUGUAAAGCACUUUAAGCGAGGAGGAGGCUACUGAGACUAAUACUCUUGGAUAGUGGACGUUACUCGCAGAAUAAGCACCGGCUAACUCUGUGCCAGCAGCCGCCGUAACAC
rnacentral:rRNA from 1 species